GGCCAUAGCUCAGUGGUAGAACAUCUGCCUUGCAUGCAGAAGAUCUCAGGUUCAAUGCCUGGCAGGGUGGGAGAGCCU